GUCCUACCGGUGGGCUUUGCUCUUUAAUGGGCGGUCCAACUAAUAUCCCAUCGCGGUGCUCUUCACUGAGUGUCGAGGUGGGCCGGUACGUUUACUUUGAACAAAUUAGAGUGCUCAAAGCAGGCUACCUUCGCCUGAAUACUGUGUGCAUGGAAUAAUGAAAUAGGACCUCGGUUCUAUUUUGUUGGUUUUCGGAACCCCGAGGUCUGGGUUAGGUUAAUAGGGACAGAUGGGGGCAUUCGUAUUGCGACGUUAGAGGGUGAAAUUCUUGGAUCGUCGCAAGACGGACAGAAGCGGAAGCAUUUGCCAAAAAUGUUUUCAUUAAUCAAGAACGAAAGUUAGAGGUUCGAAGGCGAUCAGAUCCCGCCCUAGUUCUAACCAUAAACGAUGCCAGCCAGCGAUCCGCCGAAGUUUCUCCGAUGACUCGGCGGGCAGCUUCCGGGAAACCAAAGCUUUGUGGGUUCCGGGGAAGUAUGGUUGCAAAGCUGAAAUUUAAAGGAAUUGACGGAAGGGCACCACCAGGAGUGGAGCCUGCGGCUUAAUUUGACUCAACACGGGAAACCUCACCAGGCACGGACACCGGAAGGAUUCACAGAUUGAUAGCUCUUUCUUGAUUCGGUGGGUGGUGGUGCAUGGCUGUUCUUAGUUGGUGGAGCGAUUUGUCUGGUUAAUUCCGAUAACGAACGAGACUCUAGCCUGCUAAAUAGACGUAAAUUAUGGUAUCUCGAAGGCUCCCGACUUCGGUCGGCGAGUUUUUACUACCAACGUACAAACAAAUCUUCUUAGAGGGACAAGCGGCUUCUAGCCGCACGAGAUUGAGCAAUAAUUGGUCUGUGAUGCUCUUAGAUGUUCUGGGCCGCACGCGCGCUACACUGAAGGAAUCAACGUGUUUUCCCUGGCCGAAAGGCCCGGGUAACCCGCUGAACCUCCUUCGUGCUAGGGUUGGGGCUUGCAAUUAUUUCCCAUGAACGAGGAAUUCCCAGUAAGCGCGAGUCAUAAGCUCGCGUUGAUUACGUCCCUGCCCUUUGUACACACCGCCCGUCGCUACUACCGAUUGAAUGAUUUAGUGAGGUCUUCGGACUGGUGCGCGGCAAUAUCUCGGCAUUGCCGAUGUUGCCGGGAAGAUGACCAAACUUGAUCAUUAAGAGGAAGUAAAAGUCGUAACAAGGUUUCCGUAGGUGAACCUGCGGAAGGAUCAUUA
rfam:Dufourea novaeangliae contig3116, whole genome shotgun sequence.